rnacentral:lncRNA from 1 species
ACCACCAAUCUAUAUAUAGAUUUUUGACUUAUCACCAACAUCUUCGUUUACAAGCCUUUGGCGCACGCAUGAGCUGUCGACUCCAGCAUCGGCGGCCCAACAUGUCUUCAAGCACAUCAGGCUAUUGACCUACAUAGUGACUAUUGCUCACAUCAUCAAAACAUCAUCCAAACAUUGAAGAAGGUGUCGACCCCCACAUUAGUUCUGACUGAGGCACUUAUCACCGGUUCUCAUCCUUGAUGAUAUGUAUGGUAGGUCUUCAUGCCACACUCCCUUCCACUCCCAACUUCGAUCGUUGUGUUUGGGAAGGUCAGCAGGAAGCUUCUGUAUGAUCCUUUCAAAUCAAGCCAUUAAAAAAAGUGGCUAGCCACGUACAAGAAAAGAUCAUGUUAAAUCUCUGAAUCCCAGGUGCUCAAACCAUAGCCAUUAAAGACUCAUUUGGUUUACGGAAAGUAGAAGGGAGAAGAGAUAGUUCUUAAAAAGUGGAGAGGGGUCCUCUUGUUUGGUUGGAAUUUUAUGAGGAGAAAGAGUGGAAAAAGCUCUUCCUAUGAGAAGUCACUUCUUAUAUUUCAUGGGAAGUAGAAAUCCAUGGGGAAGAUGGGUUUUGACACUUUUCAUAGGAUGAAAAGUGAUGGUAAUUUUUUUCUCAAAAUAUCUUUUUAAAAACUACGGCUAAGAUUUUACAAAAUAUCAAUAGAUGAUUAAG